rnacentral:rRNA from 1 species
UACGGGGGGGGGCAAGCGUUUGUUCGGAAUUACUGGGCGUAAAGGGCUCGUAGGCGGCCAACUAAGUCAGACGUGAAAUCCCUCAGCUUAACUGGGGAACUGCGUCUGAUACUGGAUGGCUUGGAUCCGGAAGAGGGAUGCGGAAUUCCAGGUGUAGCGGUGAAAUGCGUAGAUAUCAGGAGGAACACCGGUGGCGAAGGCGGGUCUCUGGGCCGAUACUGACGCUGAGGAGCGAAAGCGUGGGGAGCGAACAGG